CCUUUCGAGUUUUUGUAAUUUUCCAUGUUAUGUGUGGUAUGGCUUUUAUGAGUUUUCAAUUAUCUCUUGCAGAUAGAUAUUAUCAUCAUGAUGUUAGAGCGAGUUGUCCAGGUUGUUUUUGAUUCUAUGCGCAACAACAGCUGGCUUAUCACAAAAUAGAAGCAGAUGUGAAAUUAUCCAUUGUGUGAGCAGUUUGAAUUUGUCUCGUGUAAUUUGUAAAGGUAAAGAUUACAUCGGUAAC